UACGUAGGGUGCGAGCGUUAUCCGGAUUCACUGGGUUUAAAGGGUGCGUAGGUGGGCAGGUAAGUCAGUGGUGAAAUCUCCGGGCUUAACCCGGAAACUGCCGUUGAUACUAUUUGUCUUGAAUAUUGUGGAGGUAAGCGGAAUAUGUCAUGUAGCGGUGAAAUGCUUAGAUAUGACAUAGAACACCAAUUGCGAAGGCAGCUUACUACACAAUGAUUGACGCUGAGACACGAAAGCGUGGGGAUCAAACAGG
rnacentral:rRNA from 1 species